GAACGGAACGAACGAAGCAGAUAAAACACGAACGAAUGAAAGGGAGAUGCGAAUAAACAAUCGGCGGGCAAGCAGGAACGAAGGCGGCACUACAUUCGAAGGAAGGAAAAGCUCGCAGGCGGCUAAUCCUGCUGUCUUGAUCGAUCGAUCGUGAGGAGGAAUCGUCUCCGGGGUUCGACGAGGCCGAAGGGGAGGAAAGGGGGAGGCAACGAGGCUUCUAUGGCCUCAGUGGGUGCAGCGAGGAGCUGCUCAACUAGCAUAUCGGCUGCUUACUUCGGUUCCAACAGCAAUGUGCGAAGGGAGGGUGCGAGGGUGAGGUACGAGAGACCAAGAAGGUCCGAUGGGAGUCGGGUCAGCAGCAAUACGUCGCAGGUGAGGGCCUCGGUGGUGUUUGCUCGACGGGAAGAAGAACAGAAAUGCGAGAGGUGUGUUCGUGGUUGCUAUUUGCUCGAUAAUCACCACGUUUCCCCCUUUUUUUUGGCAGUCCCGAUCAACAACAGGGAAUGGAAUGAAGAACAAAUGAUGGUGUUAUUGCUCUUGUGUUUGCAAUGAACACGAAAACACCCACUUCAGUGGUGUGUUCUUGGCUGGAAAUGAAGAAGAGAGAUGAGAGAUGAGUUGAAGCUGUGAACGAUUGAAGGUAGUCUUAAGGGCAAAAUUUCUCAGAUUUCUCUAUGAUUUGGCUGCACCAUUGAGAUCCAUUUUGAGUGUUAUUCUUCUUUUGCUUGAAUGAUCAGUAGAUGGAAUGGCAGCAAUCGAAGGACAAACAGAAGAACUAGAUGGCGUUUGUGUGUGAUUGAAGUGAAAGUGUGAUUAAUUGAAAGAUGAAGUGUGUAAGGAAGUUAUGGUUUUGGCUGUCAAUUGAAAGAGGAAAGAGUUGUGUGUAAAAUUGUCUUUGUGUAUGGUUGUCUUUCUGUGCAGUUUCUGUAUAAAAUUAUUUGUUUACUUUGUGAGCAAGGAAAGUUAACAGGUAAAA